ACUAGAAAAUAAAAAUAGUUACUUACCUGUCAACCUACGUAGGUGGUCCCGGUCAUAUUAGACUAAAAUAAAAACGUGGGGCCCAUUAACUAUUGCUGUAGUACUCUCUUCUAAAGGUAUAAUAGGUGUGGAUUGCAUCGACUUACUAUAAUUGUAACUGGAGAUUUUGACAAUCAAUAAUUAAUAAUAGAAAAUACACAUACCUUUCAUUAGUUUUCUCUUUAUAACGAUCCGAAACCGCAACAAAAUAUUUAAGUACUUUUACGAGUGUUUGUUCUUGACAACUCACAGAAAUGACAGAUAGUCUAUGGAUGAACACCGUUACCAGUCGGUAACGUAAACUACCCAAUAAAAAAAAAACAAAACUAUGAUCUAUCAGAAAUCAGAAUAAAAGGACCCCCCUUUUAUUCUGAUUUGAUCAUGUCUCCCAACUGCCCAUCUCUCCCCUACCUCCCCUAUAGAUAGACAGAUUUUGACAGAUCUGUCAAAAUCUCGACUUUGAUUUAGUUCAACUUGUCAACACGCUCGAUAGUGAAGCGCUAGUGUAGUUUGACAAUGUCAAUCACGAAACUUUAAGAUCGAAGUCGAAGUGAGAGUGAUGUCGAAGUGAGUUGUGAUAUUUUAUAGAAUCGACAUGCUGGUUUGCCGCAGAGUCUCCAUUCGCCUAACAAGUUUUGCGUCAUUGGUCCGAUGGAGAUUCUACAGGAUACAAAAUUGCUCUUUUUCUGCACUGUAACAUUUUCCAUUUGGAAGGAUUCAGACUUGACGAGACUACC